AAAAGGUCAAUGCGGAUCCGGGCAUCAAUAACCAAAUGCUGGCAUCUUUGGCAGAAAAGCACAAGUCAAAUCCAGAGGAAUACAGUACACACUAUGCUGUUUGAUGUUGGAUGUAAUGUCCAUCAAGCAAAAAAUGGAGUAUGAUCAGCAUAAGGACAAAGUAGUGGGGUUUGUGGAUCUAGGCAUUGGUGACGACUCCAACGAUGAGGACAAGGAAGUUCUGGUAGUUCUCACUGUGGGUCCGCGUGGCCAUUGGAAGUGGCCAAUAUCGUUCUACUGUACGCGGGGUCUGAAUGGACAAGUACAGAAAGAACUCCUGGUACAAUGUCUUGAUGCAAUACAAGACACUGGACUUCGAGUGAUAACAGUCACCAUGGACGGCCAUGCCAUGAAUAUUGCAAUAGCUAUGCUUCUUGGAGCUAACCUUAACAGCGACAUAGGUCAUGACUUCUGCACCUCAUUUCUUCAUGAUGACAAGAUAUAUGUCAUGCUUGAUGCUUGUCACAUGGUUAAGCUGCUAAGAAAUACAUUACAAGCUUAUGGCAGCAUCGUCUCCCCAGUUGCUCGUAUAGUUUGGCAGCUCAUCACGGACCUCAAUGCUACUCAGGAAGAAGUGGGUGUCACCUUGGCAACAAGUUAACCUCUGACACAUCAACUUCCACACAAAGAGGAUGAAGGUUUCCCUGGCAUUUCAGACACUGUCAUUAUCUGUAGCCUCUGCACUGGAAACACUGCUAAAGAUGGGUGUACCUAAGUUCUGCUAUGUUGAUGCCACUGUGGAGUUUCUAAAGAAAGUAGAUGCUAUUUUUGAUGUUCUGAACAGUCGUUCACAGUUUGGACGUGGCUGGAAGAGAACUGGGAAGAGACCAGAGCAUUCCUAGUGGAUGUUCGCAGCUACCUGCCCUCCCUCACCCUGGUCAAUGGUACACCACUGCAUAAGACUC